ACAUACUUUUAGUUAUGAUGGACUACCCCUACGAGUGGUGACGGACAACGGUCCACAAUUUACUUCACAUGAGUUUAAGGACUUUAUGUCAGCGAAUGGAAUAAAACAUCAAUUAACUCCUCCUUAUCACCCAGCCUCAAAUGGACAGGUUGAGAGAAUGGUGCAAGAGUUUAAGAAGUCUCUAAAAACAAAGCCAACUGGUAGGUCAGUGAGUCACCAGGUAUCAAUCUUUCUAUUGCACUACAGGACAACACCAAACAGCACAACCGGCAAGAUACCAGCCGAAUUGAUGUUGAAGCGGAGUCCGAGAACAAGACUAUCAAUAUUACAUCCUGAAGCUGACAGUGAGUUGAGAGAGGCUCAGAGUCAACAAUAUGGCACUGCAUCUGGUCGGGUUCGACAGCUACAGCCAGGAAUGACAGUCAGUGUUACAAAUCCAAGACAAGAUAGCAGAGGGAAAUGGCUAUGUGGGGUCAUUAUCCAACGUUUAGGGCCUGCAACCUAUCUUGUAAGUGUUGAAGGAGGACCAAGGUAUGCCCAUAUUGACCAGUUGAGAGAGCGUGAUGGAAGAACCUUUUCAGAGUACACAUGGGAACCUACAGGAGAUAUAUCUGUACCCACAAUGAACCAAGACAAUGGCAACAGCAAGCAAAAGGACAAGAUCAAUCUAGUACUACAAGUACAUCCACAAGCACAUCAUCAGGAUCCUCUCAAGAUAAUAACAGUGCAAAAAAAAAACGAGAAAACUUCACUGAGACUACACCAAUGUCCCAGCAGUCUCACCAGAUACCACCGUCUACAGCAGUAACUGAAGAGAGACAAACAGAAAACCACCUGCACAGUACAAUCCUAUAGUAUACUAAUGAGAUUAGCUACGUAUAUGUUGUGAGACAAUACGUCUUUAGUUUGUCUGUGUUUAGUCCUCAUAGUCUGCGUUCAGUGUUCCAUGUCUGAAUCAGUGCGUAUGUGUCAUAUAAGGGUAUAGACACUACAGAUAACGUAAAAAUAUUUUGAGCCUUCCCUCUUGUGGCAUGGUAUUGAUGGUAUAAAUAAGCACAUCUCACUAGAACAAGUCAUCCUUGCAAGUAAGAGUAUCAGAAUGAGUCGUCAGAAGCGAUCAAAGCCAAAUAUGUGGCAAGUGGACCAAGAUGACCUGUUUGACUCAUGGGAUAACACAAAUAGAAACGCUGCUGGCCGUGUUGAAAGUUCUUGUCACCCUGUGAAGACGUUACAGUGAAUCAACUGUGGUUUGAGAAAUUUCAAUCACCUGACAUUGAUGAUGAAGCUGCAUAUCAAACUGGAAUACAGCAGUCAAUGAUGAGCUGCACAUCACAAAUACAGCAUUCAGAUGAAACACACUCCCAUCAUCAUGACUUGGAAGAGUUAGACAGUGUUUUUACUGCUUCAAGCACAGAGUCUGAUUUAGAAUCUUUGCCAUCACUCUCAGCAGAAAUACCAUCACCCUCAGCAGAACAAACAGAAGAAAACAACUCUACCAAUAUCGCCACACCAAAUAGAGAGUCUACAAGAGAUGUCCAUGGCUCUCCUUUUUAUAGCAACAACAGAAGUUGGCCUGUAUGGAGCUGGCAUGGCGGUACAUCUUCUACAGCUGAAGAUGCCUUAGCAAGAAUCCUCUCUGCUCCAGCUCAACAGUUGUGUUUCUACACCCAAAUGUGUUGAACAUAACUGUGCUUUCCUCGUUGAUAUGACAUCACUUUCCCACCCAAACAACAUUUUUUGCAGAUGAUCUGGGAGCUUGGAAUUGUCAAGGAUGCCCUUCACUCUUUUAUCAAGUGAAACACAACCUUCAAGGAGAAGUGCGAAUUCGUCCAUGUGGAAAGAAAAAAGAAGGAAUGAUUCCAAAGAAAGCAACACACAAAGUCCACAAAAAAUAUGCUAAGAACAAGUCUUCUGCAGACUUUAGAAGAAUUAUCUACACUGUGUUUUCUAUUGACAACACAGGGUUUGAAACACAGCUUGGUAUCUCCAUGAUAUCAUACUGCUUUCUCCAUGGAGAACACAAGCUGAAUGUACAAAAGCAUGGAUAUCGGAAGAUUAGAAACCAGCCGUAUGUCCACACUGAGACAAGCACCCUAACAGACAUUCAAACAACUUCACAAACAAUACAGCCCAAGCAAGUAGCCUCACACAUUUACCAGCAGAGAGGUGGAAUCAGCACCGAAUCAGUUAGUCAACUGACAAGAUCGCAACAGCAAGUCAAGGACAGCAGACGAUACAUAUCUGGAGUUGGACGCACUGCCAUAGCUGUCAACAAGGAUCUGCUCCUUGACGUUAUGAUGAUGGAAGAGUCAGCGCAAAGUCCAUCAGACAAAUUUGUCAGGGCAGUAACUGCCUUUCCAGAACCAAUGUGUGUAUUAGCUACUGAACAACAACUUGUAGACAUGGAACGCUUCUGUGUUGACUGUUCACCCAAUUGCAGCAUCUUGGGUGUAGAUCCCACCUUCAAUUGUGGGAAAUUCUAUGUAACAGUUUCGACGUACAAUCACUUACUGCUGAACAACUCACACUGAAAGAACCCAACGUUCAUUGGAGCACUAUUAAUACAUCAACAAGAGCUUGAAACUUCAUACAGCUUUCUGGGGAACACAUUAAUUAACUGCCGCCCCUCCCUAGCUGGAGUCCAUUCAUUUGGAACAGACGGAAAGACAACCUUGUGAAAGGGCUGAAAAGAACCUUUCAAGAUGGCAUACAUGUCCAAUGCUCUAUUCAUGCAGAACGAAACGUUAAACAAAAGCUUGCAGAAAUGAAAUUAACACCUGUUGCUGCCAAUGAAAUACUAGCAGACGUAUUUGGAAGAAAGCUGUGAGAAUUGCAAGUUUGUGAAGAAGGACUCAUAGACUGUGAAUCGGCGUCAGAUUUUAAUCAAAAGCUGAGCUGUCUCAAAGACAAGUGGAACAGCAUACAGCCCAAUUUUUAUUCAUGGUUCCUGAAGUACAAAGCAAAUAGUAUGAAAGCCACCAUGAUUGCAGCAGUCCGUACACAAGCUGGACUUGGAAAACCACCUACACGUUACAGCACAAACAGAAAUGAAGCAAUGAACAACACCAUCAAGAAAUCACUUAGCUACAAAGAAAAAUAUAUUGCGGAAUUCUGUAAGCACAUGAAAGACCUUAUUAAACAACAAUUUGAAGAAGUAGAAAAGGCCAUUUGAGGAAUUGGUGAAUACACAUUUGCACUUGGCUUUGAGCAUCCGUACUUACAAGAACAAGAGUGGAAUGAUUUAAAUCUUGAGCAAAGGAAAGAACACAUUAAAAAGUAGUGAUUGUCCUCAACAACGAGAUGGUAAUAGCAACAAAGACAAGAGCCAACCGGAAGCCAGCAGUAAGCAAGCCAACAAUCCAACUACAAAUACCACCGGUCUUUCACAAUCUCUAGAGACUAUCAUGAAAGCUUGUCCUGGAGUGCCCAGUGCAACAAUUGCUGGUAUGGUUGACAAGGCCAAGAAACUGCUCCAAGCACAAACAGACGUGACUGCUGUUCCACGUCCAAACAAACGAUCACACUUUGUCAUCAGCAACACCAAACCAGGGAGGCCACAUUUAGUAACAACAGGGAAUAUGUGUGGUCAAUUCUCAUGUGAACUUUCAUGUGGCUCUUGGGCUGCUUACAAAAUAUAUUCUCAUGUGAUUGCUGUAGCAGAAUACAAUGGUGAGCUGUUGAAUAUGUUACAAAACGCUGUUGCAGAAAACAACCACAGGAAACUUGACUGCACUUGCAAUGGCUACCAUGCCUCGUGAUGCAGGCAAGAAACCCAACAAGCGAGAGCAAUACAGACAAAAGCAAGCAGAAGCACCACCUGGACCACUAUACAAAGGCUACACACUACAUUGCCUAGCUCCUCGUCAAGUACAUCAUGGCAGUCUGGGCAUGCAAUGCAUGGUUCUGUUCAAAGUUCAUCUCCCAAUAUGCCUCAAUGCUUUCAAAUGACAGCACCAUCACAAGAUUCAUCGACUACUGUACGUAUCUCAACCAUUUCAACGGACAUCAUCAUCACAAGCUCCAUCAGCUACCACAUCUCAACCUUUUCUAAUAACAGCACAAUCACGAGGUUCAUCAGCUACACUAUCUCAACCUUUUCGAAUGGCAGCACCAUCACAAGGUUCAUCAGCUACUGCAUAUCUACCUUUUCAAAUAACACCAUCACAACUAACUGCAUCUGGAUAUCCAGUUUACGCACAACAACUGUAUGGGCAACCUCAACAAUACAACCCUGGACUUUGGCCAGGACCACCCCUGAUGCACAGCAUAAACCCAAACCCUGUGAGUUUCACACCAAUGACAGCUACAGCAUCUGCUAUAAGUCCACAGGACAUGGUUCCUAAGCCAUUCAAAUUCAAAUUCUUGACUAAUCAAAUCAAGGUCUGUGCAGGUUGCAGACAGGGAUAUCAAAGACGAACAGAUCCACCUUAUAUGACAUUUGCAUUGUGCACGAGGAAAGCAUCUAGAUAGUACAACAUGAUAAGUCUUUCAAAAGAAUCCACCAAUGCACACUACCAUGGCAAUGCAACAUGCAUUAUCAUCAAGCAUCCUGCUUUUCAGCCGAAUUGUAUCGAAAUACCACCAGAUGUUAAGGCACGUCUACUGCCAGUGCACAAGCACUACCUCAGAGAUCACUUUGGAAUUAUCAUCUAACAACAUGUCUAAAGACUAUAUAGUAGUUUAGUUGUUGCAGAGUUGCUACUUUGUUAGAGCAACUUGUUUUGGAAUUAUAGAAAGUGACAUGACAACUAUUUGCAAAGUUGACUUCACACAGCAGUUUUGAGCUAUCUAGAUAAAAGUAUAAACAGGUUGUGUUGUUAAUCAAGAGAAUUCCAAAUAACCUUAAACAAA